rnacentral:lncRNA from 1 species
GACAGAUCUCACCACGGACCUCUGAUUAGCCAGAUGACAUGUAGAUAAGAUUUCAGGAACUACUACAGAAAAUGAAAUUGCAGGGACAAACCACUCCGACAGGGUGUUGGAAAAUCUACAGAGCGUUCACAGUGUGCCGAAUGUGACAGAACACAAGAGUGAGAAAAAUAAUAAAAAAAGAAACUGACCUCAGCUUUCCAGUGAAUUGGACCUCAGCUCUACAUCCUGGUAAAAAAGACCAUUAGAAAAGUUUCUGACACAAACUUAUCAACACGUAUAAGCUACAGGGACAGGUUACAGGCCAACAAUCUAUUUCCUCUCCUUCUUGCAAAUAAGAGUUGCAAAUAAGGCUGUAAAUCAACAUUACUCUGAAUAAUACUGGGAAUUUUGCAUAAGCUGUUUUGCCCCUAAACAUGCAACUCCAGCUUUUAAGAUGUAAAGGAUUAGCAUUUGAAGACACUUCCAGGAAUAAAACAUCAAG